UCAAACUUGGUCAUUUAGAGGAAGUAAAAGUCGUAACAAGGUUUCCGUAGGUGAACCUUCGGAAGGAUCAUUAUUGAAACGCAGCGCGGCUUCGGCCACGUUUGCACACUUCACCCUUGUUUUUUGGCACCGUUUGUUUCCUCGGCAGGCUUGCCUGCCAACGGGGACUCCCAAAACACCUUGUAGUUAGCAGUUUUUGUCAGGAAAAGCAAACAAAAUCAAAACUUUCAACAACGGAUCUCUUGGUUCUGGCAUCGAUGAAGAACGCAGC
rnacentral:misc_RNA from 1 species